UACGUAGGGUGCAGGCGUUAAUCGGAAUUACUGGGCGUAAAGCGUGCGCAGGCGGUUUGCUAAGACAGGUGUGAAAUCCCCGGGCUUAACCUGGGAACUGCGCUUGUUACUGGCAGGCUUGAGUGUGGCAGAGGGGGGUGGAAUUCCACGUGUAGCAGUGAAAUGCGUAGAGAUGUGGAGGAACACCGAUGGCGAAGGCAGCCCCCUGGGCUAACACUGACGCCUCAUGCACGAAAGCGUGGGGGAGCAAACAGG
rnacentral:rRNA from 1 species